UUGACCUCGAAUCAGGUAGGGAUACCCGCUGAACUUAAGCUAAAUCGGGGGG
rnacentral:rRNA from 1 species